CUCAGCCCUGUCUCUGUCCCUUCAGUGCCCGUGGCCAAUGUCACCAUCACCCCUGGUCCCCCAGCACACCAGGGGCAUGCAGGUGACCCUGUGACCCUGCACUGCUCAGUGGAGGUUGGUUCAGCCCCUGUCACCUUCACCUGGCUGCACAAUGGCAAGGAGGUGGCCCAGGGUCCUGUCCUGGAGCUUGGGGACAUUGAAGUGGGACAUUCGGGCACCUACCAGUGCGUGGCCACCAACCAGCUGGGACAGGAUGGGCACCGCGUGUUCCGGGCACUCAGCCCUGAGCUGGCCCUGGAAGUGACACCGCAGGGACAUGGGGGUACAGGUGCGGUCACAGCGGGUCAUUAGGGAGUGAAGAACCCCAGUGGUGAUCGGUGAUCUUGAUGUUUCCCUCUGUUUGUUGCAGUGGCCGCAGGGGUCGUUGGGUCCCUUUUGUUCCUGGUCUUACUCGUAGCUGUUAUUGUGGCCUGGCACUGGUGGCACCGCCUUGCCACCAGGAAGCACCCAGAAAGGUGAGUGGGGGUUCUGCAGCUGUGGCCCUUCUUUUACUCCCACCCCACCACUCUCCAUCCCCUCACACAAAUCCCCUUUAUCUCUGCAGGGCACCCCCAGAGCCUGUGCCCCCCCCAGAGGAGGGGGAGGUUCUGUACACCCACGUCAUGAGCACCAAAAAGGCACAGUGUGAGUACAGUGGUGGGGGGGACAGUGACACGUCACCCACCGGUGUCACCCCCCACCUUGGUAUCCUCAACUGGUGUCUCCUGCAGGGCCCCCCCACAUCACUCUUCCCCAGGAACCCCAGGUGACCUACGCAGAGCUGCCGGGACCCCACAGUCGACCAAAGGAGCCCAGUGACAUCUAUGAGGUUGUGCCGUGACUUCAGGGGACUAAGGGGCACAUUGGGCCCCACCCAUGGGCACCCACAGGACUGUGUGUCGCCAAUAAAAACUGCCCCUCCCCCUGCCAGUGGGGGCACAGAAGGCAAAGGUCCCAAAGGGCUGAAAGAAAAAGAAAAAUCCUGCAAAGAGCAACAACAGAAUAAAACCAACAGCAAC
rnacentral:lncRNA from 1 species